rnacentral:rRNA from 1 species
UACGGGGGGGGUAAGCGUUGUUCGGAAUUACUGGGCGUAAAGGGCUCGUAGGCGGCCAACUAAGUCAGACGUGAAAUCCCUCAGCUUAACUGGGGAACUGCGUCUGAUACUGGAUGGCUUGGAUUCGGGAGAGGAAUGCGGAAUUCCAGGUGUAGCGGUGAAAUGCGUAGAUAUCAAGAGGAACACCUGAGGUGAAGACGGGUUGCUGGGCUGACACUGACGCUGAGGCGCGAAAGCCAGGGGAGCAAACGGG